rnacentral:rRNA from 1 species
AUACGGGAGGCAGCAGUGAGGAAUAUUGGUCAAUGGGCGCAAGCCUGAACCAGCCAUCCCGCGUGAAGGAAGAAGGCGCUAUGCGUCGUAAACUUCUUUUGCAGGUCAAGAAUGUUAUCUACGAGUAGGUAAUUGACGGUAACCUGUGAAUAAGCAUCGGCUAACUCCGUGCCAGCAGCCGCGGUAAUACGGAGGAUGCGAGCGUUAUCCGGAUUUAUUGGGUUUAAAGGGUGCGUAGGCGGAAUAAUAAGUCAGUGGUGAAAUCCUACAGCUUAACUGUAGCAUUGCCGUUGAUACUGUUAAUCUUGAGUAUGGUUAAGGUAGGCGGAAUGUGUAAUGUAGCGGUGAAAUGCUUAGAUAUUACACAGAACACCGAUUGCGAAGGCAGCUUACUGAACCAUAACUGACGCUGAGGCACGAAAGCGUGGGGAGCGAACAGGAUUAGAUACCCCGGUAGA